ACUGCAGGCUGNAACUCGCCUGCACGAAGCCGGAGUUGCUAGUAAUCGCGGAUCAGAAUGCCGCGGUGAAUGCGUUCCCGGGUCUUGUACACACCGCCCGUCACACCAUGGAAGUUGGGGGUGCCCAAAGCCGGCAGGGAAAUAUGCUGUCUAAGGCAAAACCAAUGACUGGGGUGAAGUCGUAACAAGGUACC
rnacentral:rRNA from 1 species